UACGUAGGGUGCAAGCGUUGUCCGGAAUUAUUGGGCGUAAAGAGCGUGUAGGCGGCCCGACAAGUCCGCUGUGAAAGUCCAGGGCUCAACCCUGGAAUGCCGGUGGAUACUGUCGGGCUAGAGUCCGGAAGAGGAGAGUGGAAUUCCUGGUGUAGCGGUGAAAUGCGCAGAUAUCAGGAAGAACACCCGUGGCGAAGGCGGGUCUCUGGGCCGAUACUGACGCUGAGGAGCGAAAGCGUGGGGAGCGAACAGG
rnacentral:rRNA from 1 species